AGAACAACUGGAAGCUAUGACAGGAAUUCCCUCUUACACUUUGCAUCUCAGCCGAGUCCCACUCCAGCCUGAAGCAGCUCUCAGUGCCGUCCGGGCUGAAAGCAUCGGAGCUAUUUCAGACACAUUAAAAGGAUCACAGUCAAUACCUCAGCUGGUAGAAGAAGGUACCUCUUUCAGCAUCGAAAGGAGGUGCACAUACUCACUUGACGGGAUAAGCCUCUGUCUUAAAAAUGUCAAAACAGCCAGCGUCACAUGUCAAAGCCAUUCAGGCUAAUAUUAACAUCCCAAUGGGAGCAUUUCGACCUGGUGCAGGCCACCCUCAUAAAAGAAAAGAACUUACACCUGAAGAAGUGGAAGAGAGUGUUCCUGCUUCGACAGAGGAGGAGAAAGACAAGAAACAUCUCCCAGGAGCUAAGAAACUUCCAGGUCCUGCUGUCAACUUGACAGAGAUUCAGAACAUAAAGAGCGAGCUGAAAUUUGUCCCCAAAGCUGAACAGUAGCCGGAACAAGCAGAGUGCAAACGCAUCAGCAAAAAUAAGGAACAUGCAAAAUGAGUUUCUGUGUUCAGAAGUAAAAAUUGAGUUCAUUGUCUCUAACAUGGCCUGCAGCUGUCCAUCGCGAACCCAGAGUUCUCUACCACCGACGAAAUGCUGUGGUAAGCCCCCAGCAUGUCAUUCCUCAGGCCUUUGCAAGUCAAGGAGAGGUUUCCUUCUCAUUCUCUUGUGGAAUGGUGGAAGUGAGGAGGAAAGCGUACUGGUCAGACUCUGCUUGCUAGAUGCCUAAGAAAGCUUGAAGGUAUGCAUUAGGAGGUCGAUUUUACCGAGUAAAGAACAGGUCAUGUUCUUAUGAGCAACAAAUGCUUCUACAUAAACUAGUUCGGAAAAGAUUGUGUUUUGUGGUUUUGAAAACUGACUAAUAACUUCAAAACAAACACUGAAAAAUCAGAAAACAUUUUGCUCCAAAGCAAACUAUGGGAAUGGAUACUUACAUUUUUUCAGAACAGAAAAUAUGCAAACAAAAGUCUUUUAUUUCCAAACUGUGUCUUCAAGCAGAGCAUUUUUAUUACUGGAAGAGACAAGCACAAAGUAAUAACUCAAAGAACUCUACUAAUUUUUAGAAUGUGAGCAUGUUAUUUACUCUUCUACCUUCACCAUAUUCAAGAGAGUUUACAGGCAUGUAGAGAUGAACAGGCCUCUACACACCAACAGAAGAAAUUUCUUCAUUGAACCUCUCACUUUGAAACGUUAAUGCCCUUAAAGUAAAAAAAUACUUCCCAUUUUAGCAAUGUGGUCCCACAUAUCUCUGCUCUGUUCUCGAGUGAGAAACAUCAGUUUCUGGGAGAAAGUUCCAAGUAUUUUGUUUGAAAGCUGAAAAUUCUCCUUUAAAAAAAAAAUUAAAAUUAAAUCACUGCUAUUUAAUAACU